rnacentral:lncRNA from 1 species
GUGUUUGUGUGAUACUGGAAGAGAGAAAGGGGUGAAGUGGACUGGGGAAGAUGGAAGGGAGGUUGUGCAGGAGAGAGAAACAGCAUGCAUGCGGUAGGAGGAGGGAGGAGGAGAGAGAGAGGUGUAUGAAUCUUUUCAUUCCAUUAUUUAGUCUCCUCUCCAUCUUAGUUACAGAUACCGCGCCAUGAGUUGACUGGUUGGGAGGUAUAUCCACCUAGAAAUCGGUAGGGGAGAGAAAUCUCAUGAGGCUGCGGCAUAAUCUCGAGGGAUGAACAGCUGGUUAUGGGAAGAAAAUAUAUCAAAGUAAAACUCUACCUAUAUACA